AGCUUGCUGGGGGAUUAGUGGCGAACGGGUGAGUAACACGUGAGUAACCUGCCCUUGACUCUGGGAUAAGCCUGGGAAACUGGGUCUAAUACCGGAUACGACCAUCUGGCGCAUGUCAUGGUGGUGGAAAGCUUUUGUGGUUUUGGAUGGACUCGCGGCCUAUCAGCUUGUUGGUGGGGUAAUGGCCUACCAAGGCGACGACGGGUAGCCGGCCUGAGAGGGUGACCGGCCACACUGGGACUGAGACACGGCCCAGACUCCUACGGGAGGCAGCAGUGGGGAAUAUUGCACAAUGGGCGGAAGCCUGAUGCAGCGACGCCGCGUGAGGGAUGACGGCCUUCGGGUUGUAAACCUCUUUCAGUAGGGAAGAAGCGAAAGUGACGGUACCUGCAGAAGAAGCGCCGGCUAACUACGUGCCAGCAGCCGCGGUAAUACGUAGGGCGCAAGCGUUAUCCGGAAUUAUUGGGCGUAAAGAGCUCGUAGGCGGUUUGUCGCGUCUGCUGUGAAAGACCGGGGCUCAACUCCGGUUCUGCAGUGGGUACGGGCAGACUAGAGUGCAGUAGGGGAGACUGGAAUUCCUGGUGUAGCGGUGAAAUGCGCAGAUAUCAGGAGGAACACCGAUGGCGAAGGCAGGUCUCUGGGCUGUAACUGACGCUGAGGAGCGAAAGCAUGGGGAGCGAACAGGAUUAGAUACCCUGGUAGUCCAUGCCGUAAACGUUGGGCACUAGGUGUGGGGGACAUUCCACGUUUUCCGCGCCGUAGCUAACGCAUUAAGUGCCCCGCCUGGGGAGUACGGCCGC
rnacentral:rRNA from 1 species